GCCCACCACUCCCCAUAUUCCAUUCAUUCCUGGCUCUUCUUUAAACUUUUAUCUCCUUGAACACUGGAUUUAACACCUCCAACUUCCUGAUUUGCAAAAGAGUGACCACUAGUAACCACAUGACAGAGUCUGCCUUGAAAUCUUCUCUGCCAAUGCCAUUAAACUCUUCAUUUUAGCCUCAGAGAAUGGCAUAUGUCAGAGGAAACAAGACUCCUCGUGCACAUAAGAAGUCACACAAGAAAUAUCUUAAAGGAAUAAAAAUUUUGAAUGGACCUGUCAUUAUUUUUCUGUCAAGAUUCUUUGUGGCUUACAGAAUAAGACGGGAACGGAAUAGGAAUUCUUUUAGUACAAAUAACUUAAAACUGAAAAC
rnacentral:sRNA from 1 species